GCAAACAGCCCAGGAUAUAAUAAGAAGUGGCGUGACUAGUCAGGGUGGACCGGAGGCCAAGAGAGACUACAGCUGCAGCAGCUGUAGCAGCGGGAGCACCUGGGACAGGUAGGAUUCUAAGAAAGACGGAGGAGAAGCUCGUGGAAUGCACCCGAUGGAGGAAACAGACCUCCGAAAGGCGACAGGAGCCAUGGAGAAGGACAAGCUGGCAACUCUAAGUUGGAGAGAAGAUGUCAAUCUGAUUUGGCAGUGUCUUCAUUGAGAGUUCCUUAUACCUAUGAAAUUUCAGACCUGGUCCAAAAACUACAAAUUAACAACCACAAAAAAUGCAGAUUAGGUGUGUUCAAAGACAGUAGAGAAGCAGCAGGAAGAGAGAAAAGGCAGCUGACAGAGUGGAGAUGAUAAAGAGGCAAUCUUCUGAAAAAAAUUUGUUUUUCCAAAGAAAAAGUCACCUAUUUCUGUGAAAUAGGAUUGAAGAUAGAUCAAGGUAUCUGAAUGUUGUGAAAUGAGGCAGAGAUGACAGAAGGAAACUCUUAUUGAUUGGCUUCAAUUUUUUUUUUUUUGGUGAAAUAUGAUGCAAAUUUCUCAACUGAGAAGGUGGGAGAAGAGAAGCCAGGAAGUUCAGAAGGAAAUGAAAACAGUUGGAAAGGCCACCUCGGACUGAUCCUGAUGGAAG